AAAUUGAGAGUUUGAUCCUGGCUCAGGAUGAACGCUGGCGGCGUGCCUAAUACAUGCAAGUCGAACGCUUUGUGGUUCAACUGAUUUGAAGAGCUUGCUCAGAUAUGACGAUGGACAUUGCAAAGAGUGGCGAACGGGUGAGUAACACGUGGGAAACCUACCUCUUAGCAGGGGAUAACAUUUGGAAACAGAUGCUAAUACCGUAUAACAAUGACAACCGCAUGGUUGUUAUUUAAAAGAUGGUUCUGCUAUCACUAAGAGAUGGUCCCGCGGUGCAUUAGCUAGUUGGUAAGGUAAUGGCUUACCAAGGCGAUGAUGCAUAGCCGAGUUGAGAGACUGAUCGGCCACAAUGGGACUGAGACACGGCCCAUACUCCUACGGGAGGCAGCAGUAGGGAAUCUUCCACAAUGGGCGAAAGCCUGAUGGAGCAACGCCGCGUGUGUGAUGAAGGGUUUCGGCUCGUAAAACACUGUUGUAAGAGAAGAAUGACAUUGAGAGUAACUGUUCAAUGUGUGACGGUAUCUUACCAGAAAGGAACGGCUAAAUACGUGCCAGCAGCCGCGGUAAUACGUAUGUUCCAAGCGUUAUCCGGAUUUAUUGGGCGUAAAGCGAGCGCAGACGGUUAUUUAAGUCUGAAGUGAAAGCCCUCAGCUCAACUGAGGAAUUGCUUUGGAAACUGGAUGACUUGAGUGCAGUAGAGGAAAGUGGAACUCCAUGUGUAGCGGUGAAAUGCGUAGAUAUAUGGAAGAACACCAGUGGCGAAGGCGGCUUUCUGGACUGUAACUGACGUUGAGGCUCGAAAGUGUGGGUAGCAAACAGGAUUAGAUACCCUGGUAGUCCACACCGUAAACGAUGAGUGCUAGGUGUUUGAGGGUUUCCGCCCUUAAGUGCCGCAGCUAACGCAUUAAGCACUCCGCCUGGGGAGUACGACCGCAAGGUUGAAACUCAAAGGAAUUGACGGGGACCCGCACAAGCGGUGGAGCAUGUGGUUUAAUUCGAAGCAACGCGAAGAACCUUACCAGGUCUUGACAUCCCUUGACAACUCCAGAGAUGGAGUGUUCCCUUCGGGGACAAGGUGACAGGUGGUGCAUGGUUGUCGUCAGCUCGUGUCGUGAGAUGUUGGGUUAAGUCCCGCAACGAGCGCAACCCUUAUUACUAGUUGCCAGCAUUCAGUUGGGCACUCUAGUGAGACUGCCGGUGACAAACCGGAGGAAGGUGGGGAUGACGUCAAAUCAUCAUGCCCCUUAUGACCUGGGCUACACACGUGCUACAAUGGCGUAUACAACGAGUUGCCAACCCGCGAGGGUGAGCUAAUCUCUUAAAGUACGUCUCAGUUCGGAUUGUAGGCUGCAACUCGCCUACAUGAAGUCGGAAUCGCUAGUAAUCGCGGAUCAGCACGCCGCGGUGAAUACGUUCCCGGGUCUUGUACACACCGCCCGUCACACCAUGAGAGUUUGUAACACCCAAAGCCGGUGGGGUAACCUUCGGGAGCCAGCCGUCUAAGGUGGGACAGAUGAUUAGGGUGAAGUCGUAACAAGGUAGCCGUAGGAGAACCUGCGGCUGGAUCACCUCCUUUCUAAGGAA
rnacentral:rRNA from 1 species